rnacentral:rRNA from 1 species
GAUGAACGCUGGCGGCGUGCCUAAUACAUGCAAGUCGAGCGAACGGACGAGACGCUUGCUUUUCUGACGUUAGCGGCGGACGGGUGAGUAACACGUGGAUAACCUACCUAUAAGACUGGGAUCACUUCGGAAAACCGGAGCUAAUACCGGAUAAUAUUUUGAACCGCAUGGUUCAAAAGUGAAAGACGGUCUUGCUGUCACUUAUAGAUGGAUCCGCGCUGCAUUAGCUAGUUGGGAAGGUAAAGGCCUACCAAGGCAACGAUGCGUAGCCGACCGGAGAGGGUGAUCGGCCACACUGGAACUGAGACACGGUCCAGACUCCUACGGGAGGGAGCAGUAGGGAAUCUUACGCAGUGGGCGAAAGCCUGACGGAGCAACGCCGCGUGAGUGAUGAAGGUCUUCGGAUCGUAAAACUCUGUUAUGAGGGAAGAACAGAUGUGUAAGUAACUGUGCACAGCUUGACGGUACCUAAUCAGAAAGCCACGGCUAACUACGUG